rnacentral:rRNA from 1 species
CCUACGGGAGGCAGCAGUGGGGAAUAUUGGACAAUGGGGGCAACCCUGAUCCAGCCAUGCCGCGUGUGUGAAGAAGGCCCUCGGGUUGUAAAGCACUUUCAGUGAGGAAGAACGCCUGGUGGUUAAUACCCAUCAGGAAAGACAUCACUCACAGAAGAAGCACCGGCUAACUCCGUGCCAGCAGCCGCGGUAAUACGGAGGGUGCGAGCGUUAAUCGGAAUUACUGGGCGUAAAGCGCGCGUAGGUGGCUUGAUAAGCCGGUUGUGAAAGCCCCGGGCUCAACCUGGGAACGGCAUCCGGAACUGUCAAGCUAGGGUGCAGGAGAGGAAGGUAGAAUUCCCGGUGUAGCGGUGAAAUGCGUAGAGUUCGGGAGGAAUACCAGUGGCGAAGGCGGCCUUCUGGACUGACACUGACACUGAGGUGCGAAAGCGUGGGUAGCAAACAGGAUUAGAUACCCGAGUAGUC